GAAGGCCCCACUGUCUUAAGGAAAUUCCCAGUGAAAUUGAAUUCGUAGUGAAGAUGCUACGUCCAAUUUGUUAGACGAAAAGACCCCGUUGAGCUUUACUGGGGCACUUACACGGCCCCGGCCUUCAAGACUGGGUUGAUAAGCCAAGGCUUACCAUACCUAGGGACCGGCCGAAUUUAAAUGGGCGGUUUAGACUAUGUGGCAGCCCCCCCCGUCGGGGCAGAUGAAACCCCACUCCCCCAUGUCAAAGGGGCUAACCCCCCCCCUUGGGGGGGACAGUGUAAGUAGGACAGUUUGGUUGGGGCGACCGCCUUUUAGAGAGUAACGAAGGUGCGCUUAAGGUGCGUAAUUAAUGACUGAAGCCUGACUGCGAGGGGGACACCCCGAGCAGACACCCCCAAGCCCGCCCUCUGGGAGGGCGGCGGUGGGGUGGGCCAUAGUGACCCGUUAAUUUAGAGUGGAAUAGUUAACGAUCAACGAAUAAAAGUUACCACGGGGA
rnacentral:rRNA from 1 species